UCUCAAGUGAAUUAAGGGCAUUUGGUGAAUGCCUUGGCGUAUAGAGGCGAUGAAGGACGUGACAGGCUGCGAAAAGCCGUGGGGAACUGCCAGUAAGUUUUGAUCCACGGAUGUCCGAAUGGGGAAACCCACCCUUUUUUGGGUAUCAUAUAGUGAAUACAUAGCUAUAUGAGGCGAACCCGGCGAACUGAAACAUCUAAGUAGCCGGAGGAAAAGACAUCAACAGAGAUUCUCCUAGUAGCGGCGAGCGAACGGGGACCAGGCCAGUGUUAUCUUUUGAGGUACCAGAACAAGUUGGGAAACUUGACCAGAGUAGGUGAUAGUCCUGUAUGGGAAGCCGAAGAAGAUAGCCUUGAGUAGGGCGGAACACGUGAAAUUCUGUCUGAACAUGGGAGGACCACCUUCCAAGCCUAAAUACUACUAUACGACCGAUAGUGAACCAGUACCGUGAGGGAAAGGUGAAAAGUACCCCGAUAAGGGGAGUGAAAUAGUACCUGAAACCGAAUGCCUACAAGCAGUCGGAGCACCCAUGUGGUGUGACGGCGUACCUUUUGUAUAAUGGGUCAGUGAGUUAGUGUAUUUAGCAAGCUUAAGCCGUUAGGUGUAGGCGUAGCGAAAGCGAGUCUGAAUAGGGCGACCGAGUUAAAUGCAUUAGACCCGAAACCCGGCGAUCUAGUUAUGAGCAGGUUGAAGGUGCAGUAACAUGCACUGGAGGACCGAACCCACGUCUGUUGAAAAAGACGGGGAUGACUUGUGACUAGGGGUGAAAGGCCAAUCAAGCCGGGAGAUAGCUGGUUCUCCGCGAAAACUAUUUAGGUAGUGCCUCGGAUGAAUACCAACGGGGGUAGAGCACUGGAUGGAUGCGGGGGGCGCGAGCCUUACCAAUUCUAACCAAACUCCGAAUACCGUUGAGUACUAUCCGGGAGACAGACUGCGGGUGCUAAGGUCCGUAGUCGAGAGGGAAACAGCCCUGACCACCAGCUAAGGUCCCUAAAUUAUGUCUAAGUGGGAAAGCAUGUGAGACGGCCAAAACAACCAGGAUGUUGGCUUAGAAGCAGCCAUCAUUUAAAGAAAGCGUAACAGCUCACUGGUCUAAAUAAGCUGUCUUGCGGCGAAGAUGUACCGGGGCUAAAGACAUAUACCGAAGCUGUGGAUUUGAUCUUAUGAUCAAGUGGUAGCGGAGCGUUCUGUAAGUCUGCGAAGGUGUGGCGUGAGCCAUGCUGGAGAUAUCAGAAGUGAGAAUGCUGACAUGAGUAGCGAUAAAGAGUGUGAGAGACACUCUCGCCGAAAUCCCAAGGGUUCCUGCGCAAGGCUAAUCCGCGCAGGGUGAGUCGGCCCCUAAGGCGAGGCUGAAAAGCGUAGUCGAUGGGAAACAGGUUAAUAUUCCUGUACCUGAUGGAAUGUGACGGAUGACGUAAGUUGUAGAUCCUUAUUGGAUUGGAUUUGCCGCGAAGUUGUCCCAGGAAAUAGCACCAUCAUAUAGACCGUACCCGAAACCGACACAGGUGGGAUGGUAGAGCAUACCAAGGCGCUUGAGAGAACUGUGCUGAAGGAACUCGGCAAAUUGCCUCCGUAACUUCGGGAGAAGGAGGCCCACCAUUAAGGCAACUUUUUGGUGGGGGCACAAAAGAGGGGGUGGCGACUGUUUACUAAAAACACAGGGCUCUGCGAAGUCGCAAGACGACGUAUAGGGUCUGACGCCUGCCCGGUGCCGGAAGGUUAAGAGGAGUAGUGAGAGCUGCGAAUUGAAGCCCCGGUAAACGGCGGCCGUAACUAUAACGGUCCUAAGGUAGCGAAAUUCCUUGUCGGGUAAGUUCCGACCUGCACGAAUGGCGUAACGACUUCCCCACUGUCUCCAGCACAGACUCAGCGAAAUUGAAUUCUCCGUGAAGAUGCGGAGUACCCGCGGUUAGACGGAAAGACCCCGUGCACCUUUACUACAGCUUCAGUGUGGUAUUAGGGAUAACAUGUGUAGCAUAGGUGGGAGGCUUUGAAGCAGGGACGCCAGUUCUUGUGGAGCCACCCUUGAAAUACCACCCUUGUUGUCUCUGAUAUCUAACUACGAUCCAUGAACCUGGAUCUAGGACCCACUGUGGCGGGUAGUUUGACUGGGGCGGUCGCCUCCCAAAUGGUAACGGAGGCGCGCGAAGGUAGGCUCAGAUCGGUUGGAAAUCGAUCGUUGAGUGCAAUGGCAUAAGCCUGCCUGACUGUGAGACUGACAGGUCGAACAGAUACGAAAGUAGGUCAUAGUGAUCCGGUGGUUCUGUGUGGAAGGGCCAUCGCUCAACGGAUAAAAGGUACGCCGGGGAUAACAGGCUGAUACUGCCCAAGAGCUCAUAUCGACGGCAGUGUUUGGCACCUCGAUGUCGGCUCAUCUCAUCCUGGGGCUGGAGCAGGUCCCAAGGGUUUGGCUGUUCGCCAAUUAAAGAGGUACGUGAGCUGGGUUUAGAACGUCGUGAGACAGUUCGGUCCCUAUCUGCCGUGGGCGCAAGAGACUUGAGAAGAGCUGCCCCUAGUACGAGAGGACCGGGGUGGACGAACCUCUGGUGGACCUGUUGUAGCGCCAGCUGCAUUGCAGGGUAGCUAUGUUCGGACGGGAUAACCGCUGAAAGCAUCUAAGCGGGAAGCCCCCUUCAAGAUAAGGUCUCUCUGAGAGCCGUGGAAGACCACCACGUUGAUAGGUCAGGUGUGGAAGCGCAGUAAUGUGUGAAGCUAACUGAUACUAAUUGCUCGAUAGGCUUCAGAGC
rnacentral:rRNA from 1 species